AGCUACUAAGCUUAGGUCAAAAUAUCACAAAUCCAAGUGCCCAAGUUAUCUCCAACCUAGAAUCCAAGUAGCAAUAUCCAAGACGAUCCCAAUAGUCCACCGAUACCGUAGUCAUGCUAAUCCUACUAUACCUAUAUAAAUCCGAUAUAUCUCAGGUUGAUCAUACUACACCCUAAAGUUUUCCAGCUUCAAUCUUCAAAGGAAGGAAUCUAGCACAAAUCAUAACUACGAUCCAACCAAGCCUAGUAUCGUAGUUAUCUAAGUCCGGUACAUAUGAGGAGGGUUAGCAAAAUCAUCAAAGUCUACCAUCUCCGAUCCAUUUGUAUCAUCUCCAUGCUCAUAUCCAUAUGGGGCACAUGCAAGCUAUCACACUUGCUCAGUUCUCUUACCCUCGUGCUCAGGCUCAGAAUGGUGCCGCUCUGAGCGCAAGCAUCGGCACCUUCAUGAGGCGGAUAGUGCGUUGAUGAUCGUAGCCACCUAUCUCAUCAACAUUCAUACUUCCUCUGCUCUACACGGUUCUAUUCCUCUCGUGCGUCUUUGUGGCAUUCUCGUAACUACUAAACACUUUGUUUGUUUGGUUGCUUCUGCUACGUUCUUCACGCACCAAAUUGUCUGAUCAAUAUGUUGAGUGUGUCUUUUUAGGUUAUAGUGAUGAGCACAAGGGUUGUCGGUGUUCGGAUCUGGUGAGUCGUCGGAUGCGCAUUUCUCGAGAUCAGCUGCUCCAACAAGGAACAUACCAACAAAAUUGCCAUCUAUUAUAAUUAAUCCAAACCAUCCUUCCAUGAUGAUCAUGUACUCAUAACAUUCUCACGGAGGGCCAUCAAAACUAUCAAAGUCUGCCCCUUUGUAUCAUCUCGAUGCUCGAAUCCACAUGGGGCACAUACAAGCUACUAAUCUUAGGUAAAAAAAAUCACAAAUCCAAGUGCCCAAUUUAUCUCCAACCUAGAAUCCAAGUAGUUAUAUCAUCUAACCAAACACCAUUUCUAUUACUCAAAGAUCUUUGUUUCCUUGCAAGUAAUUCAAUCCAAGAUGAUCCAAUGGUCUACCAAUUCCACAAUCAUGCUAAUUGUACUACACCUAUAUAAAUUCAAUAUAUCUCACGUUGAUCAUACUACACCCAAAAGUUCUCCAGGUUCAAUCUUCAAAGGUGGGAAUCUAGAACAAAUCAUAAUCAUGACCCAACCAAGCUUAGUAUCACGGUUUGGAAGUCCAAUAUAAAGCAAGCUUGCACUUGAUGACUAUAGAUAAAAAAAUUAGAAAAAUUAUCAUCCACGAGAUUUUUUUCAAGAUCACAAUCACCCAAGGUUUAUUAAAGAUCUAUUUAUCCAAGAAUAUAAUAUCACUUCAUAAGUCAUACUCUCCAACUACUAUUGCAUCCAACACAUAAUAAAAGCAAGAUCAGUUGCCCCAAAAAGGCACAUACCACUGAAAUUGCCAUCUAUUCUAAUUAAUCCAAAUCAUCCUCCCAUGAUGAUCUUGUACUCAUAACAUUCUUGGGGAGGGUUAGCAAAAUCAUCAAAGUGUACCAACUCCGAUCCAUUUGUAUCAUCUCCAUACUCAUAUCCAUAUCGAGCAUAUACAAGCUACCAAGCUUAGGUCAAAAUAUCACAAAUCCAAGUGCCCAAGUUAUCUCCAACCUAGAAUUCAAGUAGUAAUAUCCAAGAUGAUCCAAAAGUCCACCAAUACUGCACCCAUGCCAAUCAUACUAUACAUAUAAAAAUCGGAUAUAUCUCAGGUUGAUCAUACUACACCCUAAAGUUCUCCAGCUUCAAUCUUCAAAGGAAUCUAGCACCAAAUCAUAACUAUGAUCCAACCAAGCCUAGUAUCAUAGUUAUCUAAGUCCAAUACACAUGAGGGCUAGCAAAAUCAUCAAAGUCUACCAACACCGAUCCAUUUGUAUCAUCUCCAUGCUCAUAUCCAUAUAUGGGGCACAUACAAGCUACUAAGCUUAGGUCAAAAUAUCACAAAUCCAAGUGCCCAAGUUACCUCCAACCUAGAAUCCAAGUAGUAAUAUCCAAGAUGAUCCGAUGGGGCAUAUACAAGCUACUAAGCUUAGGUCAAAAUAUUACAAAUCCAAGUGCCCAAGUUACCUCCAACCUAGAAUCCAAGUAGUAAUGUCCAAGAUGAUCUAAUAGUCCACCAAUACCGCACUCAUGCCGACCAUACUAUACAUAUCUAAAUCCGAUAUAUCUCAGGUUGAUCAUACUACACCCGAAAGUUCUCCAGCUUCAAUCUUCAAAGGAAGUAAUCUUCCCCGCUUCCCCUGUCGUCAUACCUUCGCCACUCGGCUCUAGAUCUAAAGGCUAACAAAUGGCAGCAGCAGUAUGCUCCCGACAACAUUUUCACCCCUACCCACACCUCCCGUGUACUCUCCACUGCCUGCAUGUACGGCUAGGUAUCAUUUCCCUGGCUGCGAGUUACUCGUGUGCUGCCUUGUUCCUACAUCAUCUGCUCCCAAGCAAGUUGUCGCCAUAGCUGCAAGCUUGGGCACCGCCCCCGAACUUACCCAAGGACGCCAAGCGCCCAAGUGCACGUCGCUACCUGUCACCAAGGCUAGGGACUUCCAGCAAGGGAACGUGCGAUGCGAAACCAAGUCCGUGACACAUAACCCUCAAACAAGGUAAGGACGCCAAGUCGAAUCGGCGGGAAACGAAGAGUGCAUGAGAGGUAUGAAGAAGCGAUGCAAACGCUAUCAAGAGCGGCACGCCCUGCCAUCCUCUGCCUUUUCACUUGAACUUGCAAAGAGGAACCCUGAGCUGAGUUACUCAUCCCAAUUUUGCCCUCACAGUCAUAAGACCCCUGUCACUUCAUUUCCCUCGGCGCCAAGGAAGGGUCCUUCACCAACACAAGGUUGCCUACACUCAAUAACCUCUUGCAAGGUGGCUUCGUACCAGAAUCCCCUAAAUUAACAUUUUUUCCGUUGGCACUGCAUGUACAUGUAUUUCCAUUCGCAUGGUCAAAAUCAUAUUUCUUCUUAUACAUUGGGUUGAGUCAUGCCUAGUUUUCCCUCCACGGCCAUGAUCUUGUACAUAACAUUUUUGGGGAGAAUUAGCAAAAUCAUCGAAGUCUACCAACUCCGAUCCAUUUGUAUCAUCUCCAUGGCUCAUAUUCAUAUGGGGCACAUACAAGCUACUAAGCUUAGGUCAAAAUAUCACAAAUCCAAGUGCCCAACUUAUCUUAAACCUACAAUCCAAGUAGCAAUAUCCAAGAUGGUCCAAUAGUCCACCAAUAUCACACUCAUUUCAAUCAUACUAUACCUAUAUAAAUCCAAUAUAUCUCACGUUGAUAACUCUACACCCUAAAGUUCUCUAGCUUCAAUCUUCAAAUGAAGGAAUCCAGCACAAAUCAUAACUAUGAUCCAACCAAGCCUAGUAUCAUAGUUAUUUAAGUCCAAUACAUAUGAGGAGGGCUAGCAAAAUCAUCAAAGUCUACCAACUCCGAUCCAUUUAUCAUCUACAUGCCCAUAUCCAUAAGCUUAGGUCAAAAUAUCACAAAUCCUAGUGCCCAAGUUACCUCCAACCUAGAAUCCAAGUAGUAAUAUCCAAGAUGAUCCAAUAGUCCACCAAUACCACACUCAUGCCAAUCAUACUAUACCUAUAUAAAUCCGAUAUAUCUCAGGUUGAUCAUACUACACCCUAAAGUUCUCCAGCUUCAAUCUUCAAAGGAAGGAAUCUAGCACAAAUCAUAACUAUGAUCCAACAAAGCCUAGUAACAAACCCACAUGCAGAUACCAGAUUUGCCCACAACCAUCCACCGUCAUGACUGGCGCACAUAUGUAUGUACGGUGGCAAAUGAUGCCUUUCUCCUCCCAGUACCAUCUUCUCGCCUU
rnacentral:lncRNA from 1 species